rnacentral:rRNA from 1 species
GACGAACGCUGGCGGCGUGCUUAACACAUGCAAGUCGAACGGAAAGGCCCUGCUUUUGUGGGGUGCUCGAGUGGCGAACGGGUGAGUAACACGUGAGUAACCUGCCCUUGACUUUGGGAUAACUUCAGGAAACUGGGGCUAAUACCGGAUAGGAUCUCCUGCUGCAGGGUGGGGGUUGGAAAGUUUCGGCGGUUGGGGAUGGACUCGCGGCUUAUCAGCUUGUUGGUGGGGUAGUGGCUUACCAAGGCUUUGACGGGUAGCCGGCCUGAGAGGGUGACCGGCCACAUUGGGACUGCGAUACGGCCCAGACUCGUACGGGAGGCAGCAGGCGGGAAUAUUGCACAAUGGGCGGAAGCCUGAUGCAGCAACGCCGCGUGCGGGAUGACGGCCUUCGGGUUGAAAACCGCUUUCGCCUGUGACGAAGCGUGAGUGACGGUAAUGGGUAAAGAAGCACCGGCUAACUACGUG